rnacentral:tRNA from 1 species
GCUCAUUAGCAUAGUGGUUUAGUGCAUUCGACUUUCUACUGGAAGACAAGGGUUCGAUUCCCUUAUGGAGUACAA